rnacentral:rRNA from 1 species
GACGUAGGAUGCAAGCGUUGUCCGGAUUUAUUGGGCGUAAAGAGUUCGUAGGCGGUUCGUUAAGUUUGGUGUUAAAGAUCGGGGCUCAACCUCGGGAGUGCACUGAAUACUGGCGGACUGGAGUGUGGUAGAGGCUAGUGGAAUUCCCAGUGUAGCGGUGAAAUGCGUAGAUAUUGGGAAGAACACCGGUGGCGUAGGCGACUAGCUGGGCCAUAACUGACGCUGAGGAACGAAAGCCAGGGGAGCGAAUGGG